CUAGAGCACCAUAUGGAUCCAGCUACAUAAAGUGGCUCAUUUUACAUUGGGAAUAAUUUGGAUGCUGUAGGACAUGCAGCAUAAUACCCAACAGCCCAUUGAAGGCCUAGCUCCUCUCCCACAGGGCUGAGCAUUACUUCGAUCAUUCUGCAAAUUAGAAAUAAAUAUAUGUCUUGCCAGAGCUUAAAAUGCUCAUUGACAAUUCCAGAAGAAUCAGAACAGUAAAUUGUUCUUAUCUUAACCCGUGAUCUUUUGAUAACAUCUGAGACUGCUCAGCUUCAACCAUUUCUAUUCCUCUGCAACAGUUUCAGCAACUGUUAGAUGUGAAGGUACACAAACUGGCCCUGGACUUAAAAGAGGGUUGGACAGGACAACUCACUAGUCAGCAUACAUGAUUCUUCUGCUUCUGUGUCAAAUCAACAAAGGCCAUUCGCCUUUACAUCAGAGCUACCUGCUGCAGCUCCCAGUCCCCAGCCAGGACACUGGCCUAAAAUGGGAGACUCCCCAUCAGCAGG